rnacentral:rRNA from 1 species
UACGUAGGGGGCAAGCGUUGUCCGGAUUUACUGGGUUUAAAGGGUGCGCAGGCGGAUAUGUAAGUCAGUGGUGAAAUCUCCGGGCUUAACCCGGAAACUGCCGUUGAUACUAUAUAUCUUGAAUGCUGUGGAGGUAAGCAGAAUAUGUCAUGUAGCGGUGAAAUGCUUAGAUAUGACAUAGAACACCAAUUGCGAAGGCAGCUCACUACUCAAUCAUUGACUCUGAGGCACGAAAGCGUGGGGAUCAAACAGG